GGCGAACGGGUGCGUAACACGUGAGAAACCUGCCCCGGUCUCUGGGAUAACAGUUGGAAACGACUGCUAAUACCGGAUGCCGUCGAACCGUCGCAUGGCGGAUCGACGAAAGGGUUACCGGAUCGGGAGGGUCUCGCGGCCUAUCAGCUUGUUGGUGAGGUAACGGCUCACCAAGGCAUCGACGGGUAGCUGGUCUGAGAGGAUGAUCAGCCACACUGGGACUGAGACACGGCCCAGACUCCUACGGGAGGCAGCAGUGGGGAAUAUUGCACAAUGGGCGAAAGCCUGAUGCAGCAACGCCGCGUGCGGGAUGAAGGCCCUAGGGUUGUAAACCGCUUUCAGCAGGGAAGAAAAUGACGGUACCUGUAGAAGAAGGUGCGGCCAACUACGUGCCAGCAGCCGCGGUGACACGUAGGCACCAAGCGUUGUCCGGAUUUAUUGGGCGUAAAGAGCUCGUAGGCGGUUCAGUAAGUCGGGUGUGAAAACUCUGGGCUCAACCCAGAGACGCCACCCGAUACUGCUGUGACUAGAGUGCGGUAGGGGAGCGGGGAAUUCCUAGUGUAGCGGUGAAAUGCGCAGAUAUUAGGAGGAACACCAGUGGCGAAGGCGCCGCUCUGGGCCGUAACUGACGCUGAGGAGCGAAAGCGUGGGUAGCAAACAGGAUUAGAUACCCUGGUAGUCCACGCCGUAAACGUUGGGCACUAGGUGUGGGUCUCAACCAACGAGAUCCGCGCCGUCGCUAACGCAUUAAGUGCCCC
rnacentral:rRNA from 1 species